GACCCCUGUCAACAGGUAAAGAGACACCUUGUUGAUGAUGUCAUUCUUAUAUCAGUCAGGGGCAGAGCGGACGACAGUCCUAUCUUCAUCCUAGCCUGAUGCCUGGCUUGGUGGCCAAAGCUGUUUUAUGCCUAGGACUUAUCA